rnacentral:rRNA from 1 species
UACAUAGGGUGCAAGCGUUAAUCGGAAUUACUGGGCGUAAAGCGUGCGCAGGCGGUGAGCUGUGUCCGAUGUGAAAGCCCCGGGCUUAACCUGGGAAUGGCAUUGGAAACUGGCUCGCUGGAGUGUGGCAGAGGGGGGUGGAAUUCCGCGUGUAGCAGUGAAAUGCGUAGAGAUGCGGAGGAACACCGAUGGCGAAGGCAGCCCCCUGGGCUAACACUGACGCUCAGGCACGAAAGCGUGGGGAGCAAACAGG